rnacentral:lncRNA from 1 species
CUGGGCCAGAAAACAUGGAUAACACAAUGCAAAUCUGACCCUAUUGCUGCCGGAGUGAAUCCAGAAGCCCUAAUAUACCCUGAUCAUGCACAGACAGUAGUACUACAGUGCUGGAGGUGCCUGGAGAGAGUGGAAGAUCUGCCCACCACAGCCUGUCUCAGGCCUGCUGGUGACCAUCCAUGCAUAUCACCACCCAGAAGCUCCUCAUUCUUACCUGUCAGGCAGACAGGACCUCCCAUUGCCUCCUCUACAUUCCUGUCCUUUUUUGAAGCAUUAUGGUCCUUGUGUGAAGCUGGGAAUGGGGAAGUUCAAGAGACCACCUGCAAAAAGGACUGUGCAAAGCAUCUUCUCAAUAACCUUGCCAACUCCCUGCAGCUGCCACAGGUCACCAAGUUAUCUGAGGGGUUUGGUCCCCAGACCUUCCUAACCCAUCCACAAGACUCAGCCCAGAAAACACGAUAAAGAGCCCAAAGAUUCAAAGGAAGAUUUUGAACUUGAUGAUGGAGGAAUAAUACUUCUUGGAGAAAUGAAGAUAAAGAUUGUUUCAUUCUUGGUACACCUGAGUGUCCAGUACCCAGUGAAUGUGAUAAGAAGUGGGCUGCUUACAAAGGGUACCUAGGCAGUGACAUCUGCACCUCUCGGAACCAGAUGCCACUGUGGACAUUUUCUCAACCUUUUUCCACUGUGCACACAGCUUGGCGUCCUGGCAGGCCUUUCCCCUAAUUUUUAACCUUCAGAUAUUCUAAGAGGGAGCUGAACAUAUGGUACAAACUGAAUAAAUGGGAGCAGAUGACUGCAAAGAGAACGUGAUUUAAUGUCAGGAAGAUAGACAAGUAGGUCUUUCUUAAAUUGAUAUGUGGUUGUAGGACCAUUGAAUCAUUUCUAUGUGAAUGUUCCUUCCUAGAUUUAGUAAAAUACUUCAAUUUGUGAGAAAUCCCAUGUCAAUAACAUAUAAACCGAGGAAAGCUUUAAGAUCUGUGCAGCUCCCAGAACAUCCUUAGAUUGUCUCUGCUUGCUCUUGUCACUUCCUCAAUGCCAGUCAUUCUUGUACAUUUCUUCCAUUGUAUUUUUCAUGAAGUAAACACAGUUAUUACCACAGAUUAGCAGACAAAUCGAGGCAGGGCUUCUCUUUUCUCCAUGAAGUUCUUCUGGACUUGUUUAUAUUGUAACAUCUUUGAAGGUGAGACACAUUCUAGUCUACAUUUGUUGGUACCUGGCACAUAUUGAGUACAUGGCCAAUUUUUUGACAGUAUCAAUUAAUAGUCAAACACGGAUGAAUGAAAAAGUUGAUGUUUUGUGAAGCCCUCAAUGAUUUAGAGAACAUUUAGAAAUGAAUCCAUUUCAUUUCCAAAGAAAAUUUUGCAUUAAGUUUUUUUUUUUAAUUCUCCCAAGUGAGAUUUGGGGAAAUUUCAUAUGAUAAACUCUUUACAUUAUCUUGCAGUAAUUCCACAGAAAUCUCUAUUUAUGUAAACACAGUAAAUGCAUCAUAACACUAGAAUAAGUGUACAAAUACUGCAUGUCAAAUUAGGUUAUAAUCACUUUCAAGGGACGUGAUUUCCUAGCUAAACAGAUUCCUUUACAUUUUGCAAAAUAAAAAAUAAGUGAAAAUAACUAUAUAAAAUCAGGCUUACAGCUGGACAGAACUUCUUGGCAAUGGUCCAGACACUGAGCAGGGAAAACCCCUACAGCUGAGGAGUGUGUAGGACUCUCGGGAUGACUUUGCAGGCUUGGCCUGGAGAGCUGCUCCUUUGGCUGAUUCCUGAGUGUGUACCUGUCCCUGAUGACCUGUAGGGAGAGAAGCUACAUUAACAUUUAAAAUGAGACUUGCUGUGAGAGGAUUAGGAGGUAGUGGGAGCAGAGUGGAAAUUUGUUUGGUUAAAGGGAAUAAAAAAUGUAAUUUGACAUUUCACCCUUAGGUAAAAAAGCAUGAUAGAGAAAGUCAGGGGUCUUGUAACUAAAAAAGUAAAUAGUUGAAGCUAACAUUGGAAUUGUUGAACAUUAGGUCAGGGUUUGAUUGCCAUGGAUCCUGUGGUCCAACCCGUGGAAUACAGAUGGGGAAAUGCUGGCUGCAGUGCAAAAAGCAGGGCUAGGUCUUGAGAUCAAGAAGUCUGCCUCCACAAACUGAUGUAUAUCUAUGAAAUAAUUGAAGCCUGUUCUUUGAAGAGAGUGAAUAGUUUAACAACUACUCAUUCUGGUGCAUAUCUUUAAAAAAUACAUUCUACAUCUCUCCAACACUUUCUACAACACUCUCUUAUUUUGAUUCCACAAGGGUAUAAUUGUAAGCCUCAGUUGCAAUAGAAUACUACAUAACUCAGUGGUAUUCUCUGUAGCCUAUUGGUAAUGCAGAGCUUUCACUUAGCUUCAAUAAAUUGUGUGUUUGCAUUUGGUUAUCUUUCCUAUGUUCCCUUAACUGUGUUCAUGUGCUUAUUUUUGUUGAUUUCAAGAAGUGACUAAAAUGGGGGAUUUUUUAAAAUCUGUUAAUUUUGACUUGAAGGUAGCUCACAAUUCUAUAUGUAUGAAGUGUUUCUGUUUUAGUUUAACUGAUACUAAUUUUUACUCAAAAUACAGUUGUUGAACACAUUUUCUAUAUACUGUGCAAAAGUUUCCCUCCACAUUCCAUUGGCUGAACUGCUGUGACCAGGGGUUGGCAAACUAUGCCCUGAAAGCUGAAACUAGUUCAGUGCCUGAUCUUGUAAAUAAAGUUUUAUUGAAAUACAAUCAUGC